ACUAAGUGCGAUCGGUGGAUGCCUUGGCACCAAGAGCCGAUGAAGGACGUUGUGACCUGCGAUAAGCCCUGGGGAGUUGGUGAGCGAGCUGUGAUCCGGGGGUGUCCGAAUGGGGAAACCUGGAAUGUCCGGAGUAGUGUCCGGUGGCCCUGCCCUGAAUGUAUAGGGGUGUGGGUGGUAACGCGGGGAAGUGAAACAUCUUAGUACCCGUAGGAAGAGAAAACAAGUGUGAUUCCGUGAGUAGUGGCGAGCGA
rnacentral:rRNA from 12 species